CGCCAGACUUUUAUACAAGGGUGGGAAUUGCUGGAGUCCCAGCUGAUACCAUAAUGAAGAAAACAAAAACAUUAGAGGAUAACUGGGUGCCUGCUUGGAACGAGGAGUUUGAGUUUCCAUUAACUGUUCCCGAACUCGCUCUGCUGCGAAUCGAAGUUCACGAGUAUGACAUGUCUGAAAAGGAUGAUUUCGGGGGCCAGACAUGCCUGCCUGUUGCAG
rnacentral:misc_RNA from 1 species